AGCUGCUCUGAGUGCAGUGGUGUUUACGAGUAAUUGAUCACAACCAGUUACAGAUUUCUUUGUUCCUUCCCCACUCCCACUGUCUCACUUAAAUACCCAAAA
rnacentral:Y_RNA from 1 species